UUGUCGUCUGCUUUAAUUCGUCCACGUUAUCGGCCUGUCGGGGUUCAAUCUGCGUGUCUUCCUCUGAGCGCUGAGGCUAAUUCGAAUGAAUAGAAAAGUAAAAAAAGAAAUUUGUUUGUGGGUAUAACAUUUCGUAGCUAGCUUUGUGCAUUCGUCGUAGUUUGAAUGUUUAAAAUUUUGAAUGUUGUGCAAUAACACAAUCGUAAACUCGUUCGUUUGGAUUGUGUGCUCUCAUUAUUUAAGAUUGAUGAGUUUAUGAGGGCAAUAGUAUGUGCAAAAUGUAGUCACAAGAUCAAUCUUUUUUCCCUCUGAUGAGGCUCAGAUCUUCGAUUGUUAGACCCAUUAUGGCAAUGCCGAACUAUCACUCUAGGGAUAUCUGCAAUCAUUGAUUAAUUGGCUACUGGUUGUUUGAAAUGAGGUGUAGCUGUGUCUGAAGAAUGCAUAUUCAAUUGUUCAGGGUAUAUGCAUAACAAGGGUUCAGGAAGCAGAGCAAGAUAGAAACAUUCUGUUAACAAGCCAGAGCAAUAUCAUACUCUCUUCACCUGUAAAGUCAUUGCCAGUUGCCAUCAGUUACUUGAAACUUGCGUGUCGGGUCAUAUCUAUUGCAGUGACAUAGAUGAAAUGGCAUUUGUCUCCACAAGAGGCGCUGAAAACAGAUGCCCAGCAGGUAGCGUUGGAAGCUGUUGCACACUAGGUGGCUGUAAAACGCUAGGAUAUUAGAUGCUGUUAGGGAAUAGGGAGGCUCAAUAAAUUCGUCAAUGUCGA